CAUUAAAAAAAGAAAUACAAAAUUAGCAUAGCUAAAACAGAUCUUCCAUUAAUCUAUGCAGCCUAAAUUAAAAAGAAUAUCUUCUGAACAUCUCAGAUAAAAUGUAAAAUGGCUGCAUUUUCCUGAUUUUUCCCUGGAGUCCCAACAGUAAUCCCUGACAUUAACUCUGCUAGUAGGCCAAGUCUAACUACUACAUCCCCGUUUUAAUCCAUUCAUGAUUGAUUAUAACAGUAGUUUUCUUGCAGCAGAAGUAUUGUUAUUCAGAGAAACAUAAUUAUAUCAAUAAACUGGCCUCUGAAUAUCAGAGGAUAAAAAUGGCUGCAAGGCUCUGAAUGUUCCUUUCUUGAUGUUUAAAUUUUCAGCCCUCAAAUCACAUUUUCCACUUUUCAACCCCAAAUGCUCUUCUCCAUACUUUAUUCCUCAUUUGUAUCAAUGUGAUUAUGGACACUGCUCCCCUCAAGAGGCUCGAAAAGGUAAUGCAUAAUUCUCUUCAUUGCAAUCAAGUAAGACUUGUUACUAGGUGGUUUAGGAAAUCAGCUGAUGAAAAUAAAACAUUUUCAGAUGAAGUCAUUUCAUUUAAGAAAGGUUUUAUCAAACUGAAGUAGCAGCAAUUUUUCCCAUUUGCAGAUGAAACUGGGGAAAUAUCUCAUUUCUUCAGUAAAGCUCCGAUACUCCAAUCUUAAUCCUUUGACACUAAGGAGCACAUUUAUUCUUCAUGAUUUUGACCUGCUCAGAGAAAUCUAGAGAAGCAGCUAACCUUUGCUACUAUUCUACUCUAUUGAGCAUUAGAAUAUCUUGCAGUAUUAUUGUGAUUGACAAACUAUUCAAGGGAACAAAAUAGAUAUAAAAGUACACUUUAUAGGUACUUAAUACCUAUAUCCAUCUACUAAAAAAAUAAAACUUCCUGUUGGGAUACAGUAAUUAACUAAAAUGUGCUUUCAAAGACUGCAACUUCCUACUACAGCACUACUACUCCACUUCAAUCCAUAUGUUUUCUGAGCAUUAUCACAUCUGCUUGUCCUAAGCAGUUCUUAAUUACUGAAUUAUUUUAUUCCUAGCAAAUAAAAUGCAUUAAAAAUGCCAAAAUAAUCACAACUUGGAUGAAUGCUAAUUAGAGACCAAAUGAACAUGAAAAUUUUUGACUCAGCAGAACAGACAAGAGGCUACCCUUACAGAAAGAGAUGUUAUGGAGUCUCCUUUCUUAGAGAUCUUCAAAAGCCAUGUGGUGUUGUGAUUCUGGGCACCCAGCUCUGGGUGUCCCUUUUUGAGCAGUGGGGCUGGACUAGAUGAGAUAGACCCAGAGGUCCCUGCCAACCUCCACAUUUCUGUGGUUCUGUGAUACAGAAAUCAUGAGAAUACUGCCACUAACUGGGGCUAGCCACUUUAGAAAUAUUUGUGUAGUGUCAGGGAAAGUGAUUAAAAGCUCUCUGGAAAUGCCUAAGUAACUGUAUUAAACAUUCAGAGUCUGUAUGACUCCCUUUUCUUUGUCUGUCUUCAUCUUCCUUGCUAAGGAAACUGUCUAAUUUUUGCCUGUUUCCUCUAAUGAGGAUAUUUAACACCUUUUUAGAUCCUCUGUCCAGAGAGAAUCUGUAUUCCUAAACAGUUUCUGACAAGGACACAGUCCCCGCUCCCUGACAAGCUUUUAACAAAUUCCUAGCGUGCUUUUGAUCUUUAGUAUUCUAGCUUCUGUGAAAAGACAGCUUUACUCUUGCUGUACAUAAGAAAUCCUGAGUGCUGCCAUUUUGAAAAGUAUAUUUGCAUUUGCCGAAAACAUAUUGUGUACUUCUUCCUCUUUGCCAUUGCCAGGUUCUACAUGCAUGCAGAAAACUAAUAAUCUACUAUUCGUUAUUACAGUAACUUUUCUGACCAGGCUAGUCUUGAUAAUCUCUGAACAGCUAAGGAAACUCGGAGAGGUGCCUGUGGAAUGGAAGAAAGCAAAUGCCACUCCCACUUUGAAGAAGGACAAGAAGUAACUGCAGUACUAGAGGCCAGUCAGCCACAUCACAAUCUCUGGGCAUGCGAUGAAGCAAAUAAUCAUUCAAAUGUUAUUAAAGGCAUGAAGGUGACUGGGAGAAGUCAGUACGGAUUUUUGAAUGGGAAUGUAAUUCCAACUUAAUAGCCUUCUAUGAUGAUAUGAUUAGCCUAGUAGAAGAGGUGAGAACAAUGGAUAUUGUUUAUCUCAACUUUAGUAUUUAUACCACCACCCACUUGAUGAAGUCCCACAGUUGAUGAAGUCUGGACUAGACAAGCAGACAGUGAAGUGAACUGUAAACUGUCAGAACUGUCAGGCUCAAACAAUUGUGAACAGCAGUAUGAAAUCCAGGUGGAGCCCACUUGUAAAUCCUCUUGCCCAAGGGCUUAAUACUGGGGCCGAUAAUGUUUAACAUCUUCAUUGAUGAUGUGGAUGAGGAGACAGACUGCACUCCAAGGAAGUUUGUGGAUGAUACACUACUGUGAGGAACAGCUGAUGAACCAGAAAACUCCACGGCCAAUCAGAAGGAUCUCAGGAGGACAAAGAAAUGGGCCAAGAAGAAUCCCAUGAAGUUUAACGAAAAGAGAUGCAAAGUCUAGACGAUCUCCAGAGACCCUUAAACAUUUUAUAUCACGCACAAUAUUGAGCUCACUCAAAUAUCAGCUUCUUAAUAUACAGAGCUCCUUCUCACUCACUCUCUGCUCAAAACACACAGAAAACUAUACACAUUUUCUAGGGAUGCUUACCUCUAACACUCGGCUAACAGAAUCUUUAUUCCCAGAACAUCUGUUCUGGUGCAUAAACAUGCACCCUUACGUGCACAUCCAGGAAAACCAUUUGAGAAUAACGCUCCUUUCAAUUACACCAUGCUUUUAGCUUAUUCAUUUCUUCUAUGUUUGAAGAAAAACAAACAUACUGACAACUUUAUAGAGUACCAAAAGUACAUAAAUAGUAUAUAAAUAGAUCGUAGAUGACACAAAUAUUUCCUUUAUUUUAAGAGCUGUUAUACCAAGGUCUAGGGUAAUAUUCUAAUUAUUAUUUUUAAAAGGAUGAGGAAUAAAUUUAUAGAUAGCAAGUAGUAACUGUUUCAUUUCCCUGAGUGGCUACCUUUCUUCUAUGAAAAAUUUUCAAUGCAUAACUUAGAAUCUAAGUUAAAUGACUCAUCUACCAAAUUUGCCAGUCUGUUAGCAAUGUGAAUAGUGAAGAACUAGCCUAACUCCAUUACAGAGUAGGUCAGAAGGACAUGCAUACCUACACAGAAACAUACACAAACAGUUACUGCAAAAAAGGACACUGCUGUCAGGUAAAAAAAAAGAGUAUUAUUUUAGAUAACUCAUUGACAGUGAAGUCAUGCUAGUCAUUUUCAAAGACUCUGAGAUUGUGCCAACAACAGCAGAAAAAUGGGAAGAGAAGAAUACAAGACUUAGAGCUUCCUCCAAGAAAACAAAAAAAGUCUUCUCCAUAUCUCCUACACAAGUAAUGAGAUGAGCGAACUGGUCAAUUUCUAGAUUCUAACAAUUAUCUUUCUUCCUUCUCCCCUCCUGACGUGUAUUUUUCUCUGCACGUUUCUUCCUUUCCAGCUUUUCCUUUCUUCUAUGGCCUUCUGCAGACUAAACCAAUAUACACAUACAUCUGAUAUGAUCUUUCAAUAAAAUCACACUGAGUUAAAAGAAUGCUGCAGCUGAGCUCCCAAAUGCAAAUAUAUGAUUGCUGACACAUGAGGGUGUAUGCCCUCUUGUCUGCUUAAUAAAUAGCUUGUUUCUUACAUCAGCAAUGUACAACUGUUACAGAAUUUUCACUGAGGUACUAAAUAUAGUUUGAAGAUUGACAACUAUUUCAUUUAAAAGAAGGCAAAAUUAGUUAAAAUUAAUGAAGAAGUUUUCUUGCCUAAUUCAAUGUUAUGAACUCAAGCUUUAAAAAUAAACUGUAAAACAAAUAAACUAAGACCACGUUUCUUAAAUUGCAGAGCUUUGCAAGUUUUGUAACAUCUCUAAAAUAUUUUCCAUUACUGUAUGGGAACCAUUAGGUCAUGGCCUGAACCAGUGAUUAAGCACCUGGUGAAGGAGUGUGGCCAGCCUUGGGAGCACAGGUGCAAGCAAUUCACCUGUGAGAAUGGAAGGAGUAGACCCUGGGUCCCCUCCCAACCUCAUUUAAGAGCUGGCAGGCAAAGGAGGAAGUAUCUCUACUUGGAGAUUGUCUUCUUUGGCAGUUUUCCAGGGAGCCCUUAUCCUUGGAAAGAGAGGUUACAGAAACACACAGAUGAUCAGUGAGAAACGCUGCUCUCUAUGGAAGAAUCAGUCCACAGAAAGGCUGAACUAUCAUGGCUGAGACUGAGCGUACAAACUGAAGAGUUAUAAAACAGAAAGACUCCUUAAUAAGCUGGGAAUAAGUGGAAUAAAAAUUCCCAUGUGAAGGUGCAUUUUUGCUAAGGAGUAGAAGAAGCCAUUAAUUAAUGCAAUAAAAGAUAAGGGUAUUUGGAUUAGAAGAUGGAAAAGAAAUUGAAUGCUACUGAAAACUUAUCUCCAGUUAUCUCAGCAUUGUCCUUUGCUGGUGGAACUCAAGCCAGCAAUUCAGUGAUAUGGAAGAUGGGUCUUUACCAGAUUUUGAAAUACAUAAAUGCAAUUGUGACCUUUUUUAAAGAGAAAUAUUUUAGCAAAAUGCAUAUUACAUAAGGAAAGCUGUCAGGCCCAAGGCAUCAAACACUUUACACAAACGUAUUUGAAGAAAAAAAUUCAUACAUGGGAACUUAAGAAAGGACUGAUUAGGUGAGUUUAGAAACCAAAAAAUGAAAAGUGAAAUUAAAGCACUCAGCAUGGACACAGGCAUCAUGUGAAAUGUGCCUCGGGAAGCACUCCAACCAGGCUGUGUUUAUGGAACUACCAUCCCAGUCAUAACGAUCAUCAGUUUAUGCGUGAAAAUAUGGUGGAGGUGCGCAAGAUGAUUCCCCGAGAUGACAGUGCAACAGCCUAGCUCGUCAACGUCUCGCUCCAUCUGAGCUCCCACUCAUCUCCCAGCCACCAAAACCGACCCAUCCGCCGCUUCCCAGGAAAGGGCCGCCCUGCGGAGACCCCGCAGCAGCGCUGCCCGCCGCACCGCUCGCCCAGAGGAGGCGAAUCCCGG